rnacentral:rRNA from 1 species
UGAGGGGGGCUGCUCCUAGUACGAGAGGACCGGAGUGGACGCAUCACUGGUGUUCGGGUUGUCAUGCCAAUGGCACUGCCCGGUAGCUAAAUGCGGAAGAGAUAAGUGCUGAAAGCAUCUAAGCACGAAACUUGCCCCGAGAUGAGUUCUCCCUGACUCCUUGAGAGUCCUGAAGGAACGUUGAAGACGACGACGUUGAUAGGCCGGGUGUGUAAGCGCAGCGAUGCGUUGAGCUAACCGGUACUAAUGAACCGUGGGGCUUAACCUU